CCCUUCGAUGUUCUGGGCCGCACGCGCGCUACACUGAUGCAUUCAACGAGUCUAAAACCUGCUCUGAUAGGGGUGGGUAAUCUUUUGAAUGUGCAUCGUGAUUGGGAUAGAUGAUUGCAAUUUUUCAUCUUCAACGAGGAAUGCCUAGUAAACGCAAGUCAUCAGCUUGCAUUGAUUACGUCCCUGCCCUUUGUACACACCGCCCGUCGCUCCUACCGAUUGAAUGAUCCGAUGAAUAUCAUGGAUUGAGGAUGCAAGUAGGUUCGCCUAUCUUCAUCUUCGAGAAGUGAAGUAAAUCUUAUCAUUUAGAGGAAGGAGAAGUCGUAACA
rnacentral:rRNA from 1 species